CCAGACUCCUACGGGAGGCAGCAGUGAGGAAUAUUGGUCAAUGGCCGUAAGGCUGAACCAGCCAAGUAGCGUGAGGGAAGACUGCCCUAUGGGUUGUAAACCUCUUUUAUGCGGGGAUAAAGGUGUCCACGUGUGGAUGUUUGCAGGUACCGCAUGAAUAAGGACCGGCUAAUUCCGUGCCAGCAGCCGCGGUAAUACGGAAGGUCCGGGCGUUAUCCGGAUUUAUUGGGUUUAAAGGGUGCGUAGGCGGUCCGUUAAGUCAGCGGUAAAAUUGCGGGGCUCAACCCCGUCGAGCCGUUGAAACUGGCAGACUUGAGUUGGCGAGAAGUACGCGGAAUGCGCGGUGUAGCGGUGAAAUGCAUAGAUAUCGCGCAGAACUCCGAUUGCGAAGGCAGCAUACCGGCGCCCAACUGACGCUGAAGCACGAAAGCGUGGGUAUCGAACAGGAUUAGAUACCCUUGUAU
rnacentral:rRNA from 1 species